rnacentral:rRNA from 1 species
GACGAACGCUGGCGGCGUGCCUAAUACAUGCAAGUAGAACGCACAGUUUAUACCGUAGCUUGCUACACCAUAGACUGUGAGUUGCGAACGGGUGAGUAACGCGUAGGUAACCUGCCUGGUAGCGGGGGAUAACUAUUGGAAACGAUAGCUAAUACCGCAUAAUAUUAAUUAUUUCAUGAUAAUUAAUUGAAAGGUGCAAUUGCACCACUACCAGAUGGACCUGCGUUGUAUUAGCUAGUAGGUGAGGUAACGGCUCACCUAGGCGACGAUACAUAGCCGACCUGAGAGGGUGAUCGGCCACACUGGGACUGAGACACGGCCCAGACUCCUACGGGAGGCAGCAGUAGGGAAUCUUCGGCAAUGGAUGAAAGUCUGACCGAGCAACGCCGCGUGAGUGAAGAAGGUUUUCGGAUCGUAAAGCUCUGUUGUAAGAGAAGAACGGGUGUGAGAGUGGAAAGUUCACACUGUGACGGUAGCUUACCAGAAAGGGACGGCUAACUACGUG